rnacentral:rRNA from 1 species
UACGUAGGGUGCAAGCGUUGUCCGGAAUUAUUGGGCGUAAAGAGCUCGUAGGCGGUCUGUCGCGUCGGCUGUGAAAUCCCGAGGCUCAACCUCGGGUCUGCAGUCGAUACGGGCAAACUAGAGUAUUGCAGGGGAGACUGGAAUUCCUGGUGUAGCGGUGAAAUGCGCAGAUAUCAGGAGGAACACCGGUGGGGAAGGCGGCAUCCUGGACCAAUACUGACGCUGAGGAGCGAAAGCCAGGGGAGCAAACGGG